rnacentral:rRNA from 1 species
ACCAGACUCCUACGGGAGGCAGCAGUGGGGAAUAUUGCACAAUGGGCGAAGGCCUGAUGCAGCAACGCCGCGUGAAGGAAGAAGGCCUUCGGGUCGUAAACUUCUGUCCUUGGGGAAGAAGAACUGACGGUACCCAAGGAGGAAGCCCCGGCUAACUACGUGCCAGCAGCCGCGGUAAUACGUAGGGGGCAAGCGUUAUCCGGAUUUACUGGGUGUAAAGGGAGCGUAGACGGCAGCGCAAGUCUGGAGUGAAAUGCCGGGGCCCAACCCCGGAACUGCUCUGGAAACUGUGAAGCUGGAGUGCAGGAGAGGUAAGCGGAAUUCCUGGUGUAGCGGUGAAAUGCGUAGAUAUCAGGAGGAACACCGGCGGCGAAGGCGGCUUACUGGACUGUAACUGACGUUGAGGCUCGAAGGCGUGGGGAGCAAACAGGAUUAGAUACCCUCGUA